rnacentral:rRNA from 1 species
UACGUAGGGGGCAAGCGUUGUUCGGAAUUACUGGGCGUAAAGGGCGCGUAGGCGGUACGACAAGUCGGGAGUGAAAGCCCGGGGCUCAACCCCGGGACUGCUUUCGAAACUGUCGAACUUGAGUGCAGAAGAGGCAACUGGAAUUCCCAGUGUAGCGGUGAAAUGCGUAGAUAUUGGGAAGAACACCUGAGGCGAAGGCGGGUUGCUGGGCUGACACUGACGCUGGGGCGCGAAAGCCAGGGGAGCGAACGGG